UACGUAGGUGGCAAGCGUUGUCCGGAAUUACUGGGUGUAAAGCGCGUGUAGGCGGCAGACCAAGUCGGCGGUGAAAGCGCCCGGCUCAACUGGGCGAGGUCCGUGGAAACUGGUCAGCUGGAGGACGGUAGAGGCGAGUGGAAUUCCCGGUGUAGUGGUGAAAUGCGUAGAUAUCGUGAGGAAGACCAGUGGCGAAGGCGGAUCUCUGGAGAGUUCCUGACGCUGAGGCACGAAGGCCAGGGGAGCAAACGGG
rnacentral:rRNA from 1 species